GCGGAAGUGGCUCAGUCUGGUAGAGCAUCUCCUUGCCAAGGAGAAGGUCGGGGGUUCGAAUCCCCCCUUCCGCUCCA
rnacentral:tRNA from 1 species